rnacentral:rRNA from 1 species
AGUCGUAACAAGGUUUCCGUAGGUGAACNUGCGGAAGGAUCAUUAUUGAAUAAACUUGUGCAGGCUGUUGCUGGUCCACCUUGGGCAUGUGCACGCUUGUCAUCUUUAUAUCUCCAACUGUGCACCCACUGUAGGCCUGAGAUCUCUGAAUUCACAUAUUCGAUUUGGGACUGCUGGUGCCAUCAAGCCCAGCUUUGCCUUGCAUCUCCAGGUUNUAUGUCAUUUUCACAAACCUCCAAAACAUGUUUAGAAUGUUGAAUCAGGUCCUUUUUGUACCUAUAAAAAGUUAAUAUAUACAACUUUCAGCAACGGAUCUCUUGGCUCUCGCAUCGAUGAAGAACGCAGCGAAAUGCGAUAAGUAAUGUGAAUUGCAGAAUUCAGUGAAUCAUCGAAUCUUUGAACGCAUCUUGCGCUCCUUGGUAUUCCGAGGAGCAUGCCUGUUUGAGUGUCAUCUAAAUUCUCAACCACACCAAGGUGUGCGCUUGGAUAUGGGGGUCUUUUGCAGGCCUCUGAAAAGGAGGCCAGCUCCCCUGAAAUGCAUUAGCGGUAUCCGAGCAGAGAAAACUACCCACAGGCGUGAUUAAUUUAUUUUUCUAUGCCUCGGUAGGCUGCAUGAAUGGAUUGCGCUGCUCACAAUGAGUGGGGAAUGCCCACAAUUUUGAUGAAUUUGACCUCAAAUCAGGUAGGACUACCCGCUGAACUUAAGCAUAUCAAUAAGCGGAGGAAAAGAAACUAACAAGGAUUCCCCUAGUAACUGCGAGUGAAGCGGGAAAAGCUCAAAUUUGAAAUC